UUAUGCUGACUUCACAAUGAUGGUAAAACUAUAUUCUAUGGAGAUUUUUUUUUCUUCCAUUGCCGUGAAGCCUUACCAUGAAUUUUUUUUCUUGAGAAAUAUGCUACCUGGGCAGACUUAGUACUGAAUUGAGUCAGUUUUAGCAGAUUGUAUGCGCUCUGGACAGAAUGAGUCAGCUACUCAUAGCAAGAAGGACAUGGACUAGCUGCUUCUCUAUGGAUGCUCCUCCAGAUAUCAGAGCUUGGAUCGAUGACAAGAUGUAGUCUACAUGCUGAGAACUGGCAAUCUGUUCCUUUCAGUUUUUAUUUACAAAGAAUUAGUAGUUGCACUUGCGUUUAUGAAACAGACAGUGCAAUUGGCAAUACACUCAUUUAAAGAAAUGACACCUUUUCUGGUGAUUAGUUUGCUAAGAUUGUUUGUCUGUGGUUGUAAGUUAAUUUGAUCUGGGAGGUAGCCUAAAGGAACAGCCUUCAGGGAUUAAUAAUUUGAUGAGAGCAAGGCUUAUCCAGUUGAAGUAGCAAGGCUUCUCAUCCCUGUCACUAAACAAAGGAAGCCCCACAGAGCAUGAUUCUUGACUUCUUUCAUUCCAAUAAAAAGGUGGUGUAUUCCACUGGUGACAUGCUCGGGCUAGGUGUUUUCCUCUCCUAAGAGAGGGAAAGGAGUUCUUGGAGGUAAAGUCACGCAUCCUGAUUGGGAUCCACAGCUUGGUAGGCAGAUAAUAUAUCCAAUGUCACUCGAACUGCAAGUUAGUUGGGCCUAAUAUGUCAGAUAAUUUUGACAGAAGAGCAAUGCCUUGGUUCAACAGGAAGAAUGUAAUUCAAGGAUGAAUAAGUUUUUAUUUAAGCAUAUCUUCAGGAAUAAGAUCCAGUAGCAGUGUGUGAGUAAUUGAUUCUAAUGUUAAAUAUAGAGUAAGAAUUUCG